UGCAGCUUUGUCAAAUUCAGUGCCUCCUCCCCGGUGGAGGCCACUGGCCAAAAUGGCUGCCACAGUGAAAUUGUAGUUCAUGGGCCCCACUGUUCUCUAACAUGCCUACUGGGGAUAAAUAUGUACUACAAACAUUA
rnacentral:snoRNA from 1 species